GAUGAAGACGUAGCGAAAUGCGAUAAGUAAUGUGAAUUGCAGAGUUCAGUGAAUCAUCGAAUCUUUGAACGCACAUUGCGCCCGUUAGUAUUCUGGCGGGCAUGCCUGUUCGAGCGUCAUUACAACCCUCAGGCCCCCGGGCCUGGCGUUGGGGAUCGGCGGAGCCCCCCGUGGGCACACGCCGUCCCCCAAAUGCAGUGGCGGUCCCGCCGCAGCUUCCAUCGCGUAGUAGCUAACACCUCGCGACUGGAGAGCGGCGCGGCCACGCCGUAAAACACCCAACUCUUCUGAAGUUGACCUCGAAUCAGGUAGGAAUACCCGCUGAACUUAAGCAUAUCAAUAAGCGGAGGA
rnacentral:misc_RNA from 1 species